rnacentral:rRNA from 1 species
GGCCGCAAGGUUAAAACUCAAAUGAAUUGACGGGGGCCCGCACAAGCGGUGGAGCAUGUGGUUUAAUUCGAUGCAACGCGAAGAACCUUACCUGGUCUUGACAUCCACAGAACUUUCCAGAGAUGGAUUGGUGCCUUCGGGAACUGUGAGACAGGUGCUGCAUGGCUGUCGUCAGCUCGUGUUGUGAAAUGUUGGGUUAAGUCCCGCAACGAGCGCAACCCUUAUCCUUUGUUGCCAGCGGUCCGGCCGGGAACUCAAAGGAGACUGCCAGUGAUAAACUGGAGGAAGGUGGGGAUGACGUCAAGUCAUCAUGGCCCUUACGACCAGGGCUACACACGUGCUACAAUGGCGCAUACAAAGAGAAGCGACCU